rnacentral:rRNA from 1 species
GACGAACGCUUGCGACGUGCCUAAGAAAUGCAAGUCGAGCGAGGUAGCAAUACCUAGCGGCGAACGGUCGCGUAACACGUAAGCAACCUGCCCCAAAGACCGGGACAACGUUUCGAAAGGAGCGCUAAUACCGGAUGUGGUCAUCGGCUGACAUCGGCUGAUGAGUAAAUCGAGCAAUCGGCUUUGGGAGGGGCUUGCGGCCUAUCAGCUAGAUGGUGGGGUAACGCCACCAUGGCGACGACGGGUAGCUGGUCUGAGAGGAUGGUCAGCCGGAUUGGGACUGAGAUACGGCCCAGACUCCGUACGGGGGGCAGCAAUUAGGAAUCUUGCGCAAUGGGACGAAAGCCUGACGCAGCGACGUCGCGUGGGGAU